GGAGAGAGGACUGGAGCUUGGAAGUGGGGACAUCUGAGAUAAACUCACCCUGACAGUCAUGUUAACUGAAGGGUGGUUCACACCCACUCUCAGUGACAUUUUGGCUCCAUCCAUAAAAGGAUUUUACUCGGCUCCGAUCACUAUUUGAACACACCAUCAAAACAGUCAGGUAAAACUUCCGCUGGAGGCCACAGGGCUAAAAUUGCAGGACUGGGCCUCUCUGCUGAAGCUGUGAACAAAGAUUUCACUUAUGGUAGUUUUUGUGAUGUGGACAUUUGCUCACUGAGAACUGUACUGAAACGACCAUGCUUUAGCUCACACAGGCUCCUUAACAGUCAUCUGGUGAUAUCAAUUUCUGGUCACAACCUACUUACAUUGGAUUUGAUUCAGCAAUGUAGAGAAGUUCUGUGGGAUCUUCUACAUCCACUGCUGAAAGGUCUGCAGCUCACCCAACCUCCAACCAUUUGAGAUAGAUUGGCCUCAACUUCAUCUUAAUCCUGUCACCACAAUUAUGGUUAGAGUUCACGCUAGAACAGUGCAAGCCAUUCCAUCCUCUGUGGCCAGGUCACACCACCUUUGCUGUGUCCCCAGCUCCUGCUGGCCUAUGAGGCAUGUGACCACAUUCACAAUUUGAACCCUGAUCCUUACUUUACUGUGACUAGACAACCUAGCCAGACCUGGGAAUAUUUUGCAUUAGUUUUAGGCAUACUAUGGGCCAGGGCAGGUAGAUGGGAUAUAUUCCAAAUACUCUAACCUCUAAGUAGAUGGUAAAGGGGGCAGAAGUCUAUGUACUUCUAUAAAAAAAUUACCAAUUCACCUUUCCAGUGUCUCAUUUUGGAGCUUGGUUCAGUGUUUAGGCCAGUCCCUGAAAAAAACACUGAGUAUUUAUGAUCUGUGUAGAAAGCAGCCCCUAGCUUGGAAUUUAAUUCUGGCAACAGGUUAGUGAGGGAGAAAAAAAAAAGUUGAAUUAUUCAUUAAAGCAAUUUUUAUUAUACAGGGAUUUCACUCUUAUUAUUAUGUUC